AGCUGCAGUGUAGCAUCCCGAGGGAAGGCACAUUUAACACACCAGCGAGAUCUCAGAACAUCUCAAACUCCUGCUGUCUUAAUCCUCCCCCAAAACCACUGCUGAGAAGUGCUAUUAGCUUCAUUUUACUGACAAGGGACUGAGGAACAGAGAAAACCACUGUCAUGUCUAAGAGUUUUUUGUCUGCAACCAUUUCUUGAGAAACAAGAAAGAAAUCAGAGCUAUUUGGAUCACCUGCCUUCAGCGUCCUGGUCACCAGAUGAAGGAGGUCACCUUGGUCGCCUCGGUCAAGUCAGCUUGUGAGGUCAUCUGGCCAUUUUGAAGCAUCCAGUCCACUUCAGCCUGUUCUCUCAGUCCCCUGAGAAAUAAAGGAUUAGUUCUUUGAAACUCUUAGAAGUUACACUGAAGGCCGUUCGCUGGGGUUUUUCAAUUUCCUCUGAAUGUGCCAGCCUAGGCAGA